rnacentral:rRNA from 1 species
ACACGACUACAUUAGAUACCCCUGUAGUCCUAGCCGUAAACGAUACUCGCUAGGUGUCGGCCACGGUGCGACCGUUGUCGGUGCCGUAGGGAAGCCGUGAAGCGAGCCACCGUGGGAAGUACGGCCGCAAGGCUGAAACUUAAAGGAAUUGGCGGGGGAGCACAACAACGGGUGGAGCUUGCGGUUUAAUUGGAUUCAACGCCGGAAAUCUUACCGGGACCGACAGCAACAUGAAGGCCAAGCUGAAGACUUUGCCGGAUUAGCUG